rnacentral:rRNA from 1 species
AUUAAAGUGUUAAAAACACUUUAGAGGAGACGCGAUAGGGGGAUAUGGAGUAAUUUGAUUAUGUCUUAUAAAGUUCUAGAUACAUGUUUGAUAAUGACAAAUUUAUAUCUAAAUGGUCUUGGCUAAAUUUUGUGCCAGCAGCCGCGGUAAUACAAAGGAGACCAGUGUUAUUCAUCUUUAUUAGGUUUAAAGGGUACCUAGACAGCUUGUUUGAGGCCUUAAAUGGUUUGAACAGGCUAGAGUUUCAUAAGGGAGGAUAGGUGUAGUAUCGGGGAAGUAGAGAUGAAAUUUUUUGAUAGACCUGAGACACUGGUAAAGGCGAAAGCAGACCUYUAUGAAAAACUGACGUUGAGGGACGAAGGCAUCAUAUAAACGAACAGGAUUAGGUACCCCAGUAGUCUUUGCAGACAAUGAUAAGUGCCAUAUGUCGGGAAAUUUAAAAAUUUAAUAAGAUUAGAGUAUAAUAAUAUUAAAUUCACCGGUGUAUAAAUGAAAGUGUAAGCACUUCACCUCAAGAGUAAUAUGUCAAUAUAUAAACUGAAAUCAUUAGACCGCUUCUGAAAACAGUAGUGAAGUACGUUGUUUAAUUCGAUGAUCCGCGAAAAACCUUACCACAAUUUGUAUAUUUAUAUUUUGUUUUUAAAAUAUUUAUCACAAGCGUUGCAUGGUUGUCUUUAGUUGAUGUCGUGAGAUCUGGCAUUCCUUUAAUCAACUAUUACCCUUUCUUUAUUUAUUAUUAUAAGGAUGUUCUCCAGGGAGAUUGGAUAAGAU